GGGACACGUGGUAUCCUGUCUGAAUAUGGGGGGACCAUCCUCCAAGGCUAAAUACUCCUGACUGACCGAUAGUGAACCAGUACCGUGAGGGAAAGGCGAAAAGAACCCCGGCGAGGGGAGUGAAAAAGAACCUGAAACCGUGUACGUACAAGCAGUGGGAGCCUCUUAAUGGGGUGACUGCGUACCUUUUGUAUAAUGGGUCAGCGACUUAUAUUCUGUAGCAAGGUUAACCGAAUAGGGGAGCCGAAGGGAAACCGAGUCUUAACUGGGCGCUAAGUUGCAGGGUAUAGACCCGAAACCCGGUGAUCUAGCCAUGGGCAGGUUGAAGGUUGGGUAACACUAACUGGAGGACCGAACCGACUAAUGUUGAAAAAUUAGCGGAUGACUUGUGGCUGGGGGUGAAAGGCCAAUCAAACCGGGAGAUAGCUGGUUCUCCCCGAAAGCUAUUUAGGUAGCGCCUCGUGAAUUCAUCUCCGGGGGUAGAGCACUGUUUCGGCAAGGGGGUCAUCCCGACUUACCAACCCGAUGCAAACUGCGAAUACCGGAGAAUGUUAUCACGGGAGACACACGGCGGGUGCUAACGUCCGUCGUGAAGAGGGAAACAACCCAGACCGCCAGCUAAGGUCCCAAAGUCAUGGUUAAGUGGGAAACGAUGUGGGAAGGCCCAGACAGCCAGGAUGUUGGCUUAGAAGCAGCCAUCAUUUAAAGAAAGCGUAAUAGCUCACUGGUCGAGUCGGCCUGCGCGGAAGAUGUAACGGGGCUAAACCAUG
rnacentral:rRNA from 1 species